ensembl:lncRNA novel transcript, antisense to CCDC110
GUAGCCAGCCUGUAAGCCACAGCGGACGCAGGGGGCCGCAGCGGGUGCUCAGCCCUAGGGCCGAGCGGGAGAUGUGCGGCGAGUGCAGAAGGGCGGACCCGGGAUGUCCCGGGUUUUCGAGCGGGGAGCCGCCUGCUGAAUGCCCUUCUGCUGCCCUCCGUUCCCGCGGCUCCCCUAGGAGCCCCGCCCCGUCCAACUCUUACCCGGGCUCAUCGCCGCGGCUCAUCUCUCUCGCAACCGCCGCCGCACGCACCCGCUCCGCCGCCCCGCGCAGGGCAUCCUGUCGCCAGAUUUGCCUAUUCUGGAUGUUUCCUAUUAAUGGAACCAUAAAAUACGUGGACCGACUGAUUUUAUUGAGAUAUGAUUUGCAUACCAUAAAAUUCAUCUUUUAAUGAUUGUUGUGGCUCUUACUAGAUCCCUUGCAUUUCCAUAUGAAUUUUAGGGUCAUCUUGUCAAUUUCUGCAAAAAUGGCAGCUGGAAUUUUGAGAGAGACAACAUUGAAUCUGUGCCUCAAAUUAGGAGUACGGCCACCCUAACAAUACAUUUUGAAUACAUCAUCCCACUUCCUCUGCCGCCAUGGUUUUUGAUGGGAAAUCAGCUCUUACUCUCAUUGAGGAUCCUUUGUACAUUAUGACUUGCUUCUCUCUUGAUCUUUCAAGAUUCUCUCUUUUGUCUUUGGCUUUUAACCGUUUGAUUAUGAUGGGUCUAAGUGUGGAUCUCUUUGAGUUUGUCUCUUGUGGAGUUUGUCAAUGUAGGCUGCUGAUUUUAAUAAUGAACGAGGGCUUUUGGUUUUCAAAGCUGUCACGGAGCUGGGGCUCAGGAAAUAGGACUGGGGAAGUUAAUAGGUUGGUGCAAAAGUAAUCACGGUUUUGGACUGUGAAUUUUAAGUCAUUAUAACUAGGUUCGAAACAUCUUUAUUAAUCAAAAUAGGAACCAUUACAAUCAAUACAUUUUGGAACCACCACUGCACUGCUCCUGGCCAAAUGCAUUGUUGGUGUUGUGAGUUGUCUCUGCUCCUUUAUGACGCAUUUUGAACUUGAAUUAAAAAAAUUGCUUGAAUUUGCUUUUUGUCUAACAUCAUUUCCAUAGUCUAAAAUAAAUAGCAAGUAAUGUCAUUAGCAAAAAAGCAUAACGUGAGAAAUGCCCAUUAAAAUGAUGUAUCACAUAACCACAUUUAUUUAAGAAUGUAUUCCAACAUCAAAUGGCAAAUUCCAAUGAGAAAACUGCAAUUACAUUUGCACCAACCUAACAAAACACCCAGAGCUCACUGUUCUUACCAAGAUUCUGCCAUUUUUAUUAAAUGAAUGCUGCCUGGAUUAUUGCAAGACUUGGGUUAAUUUCCAGAUGUGUGAAAAAGUUGCUUCUGACAAUUGUGCUGUUGUUCUAGUCACUUUUACGGAGAAGAGAAUUUUUAGAGGUCCUUACUCUGCCAUUUGUGUUGAUGUCACCUAAUAAUGUUAACUUCUGGACCCAAAUAAUUCACCCAUCCACAAAUGCAUUUUCCACCUAAAAUGAUUAGAAGUUCUGCUAAAUCUGUUGUCCAGCUUUCCAGCCUGCCUGUCUGUUUUCUGUUCCUUGUAAAGGAACACAAGACUAGGAAUUCUCAAAAUAACACUUUUGAGACAGACCACCAUGCUUUAUCAAACACAGUGACAUGCUGUAGUUUUAGGCUUUUCUUCACUUUUCUUAGCUUGGCAAGAGAUCCAUACUCAGUUCCCAAUCCAGGUGCAAAAUGACAAGUAAGGGGAAACUUUUAGGUUCAUGUCUAAACAAAACUCAGGCUUACACAAUCCAGGUGACUGGGUAAAGGGCUCUGCGCUGAUCUUCAGGCAUUGUGUCUGCUGCUUUCAGUGUUUCUUGCCCAGGAUCAAGGACAAUUUAAAGUCAAGUGGUUCCACAAUUAAUAUUUUUAGUUAUUUCCAGGAAUUCCAUUUCCAAGUUUGGCUCACUCUAUGGCAAACCUGGAAAUGGAAUUCUUAAAUAACUACAAAGACAUCCUUAUUCUGGGUCUUGCCAUCUUUGGGUUUCAGGUAUAUGGUAGGCCUAGGUCCCUACCACUUGUGGAAGCAUAAAAUUACAUUUUCAUACAUGUGUGUCCUGGUCUUCUUCCCUUAACCCCUUACUAUUGCCCUGAGGAGCCAUCGUCAGAUCACUUCCUUAUCUAGAACAAUUCCAUCUAAUCACCUUCAAGGACAAGCAGUUCUCAGUGAUGGUGAUACACUUCAGAGGAUUAUCUGCCUCUAUGUUAUGGCUGUCACAGGGGUGGGAAGUCUAUUGGGAUUUAGUGCAAUUGGACCAGGGAUGUGAAAUGAUCUGUAAUGUGCCAAACAGUCCUACAUAUUGAGGAAUUCUCCUGUAUUGACCGGAUACGGUGGCUCAUGACUGUAAUCCCAGCACUUUGGAAGGCUGAAGUGGCAGGACUGCUUGGGACCAGCCCUGGCAACAUAGCAAGGCUUUAUCUCUAUAACAAAAUAAAAACAUUAGCCAGGCGUGGUGGCACAUGCCUGUAGUCCCAGCUACACAGGAGGCUGAGGUGAGAGGAUCAGUUGAGCCUAUGAGGUUGAGGCUGCACAGUGAGCUGUGAUUGUACCCCUGCACUCCAGCCUGAGUGACAGAGUGA